rnacentral:tRNA from 1 species
GGGGAUGUAGCUCAGUGGUACAGCGCAUGCUUUGCAUGUAUGAAGCCCCAGGUUCAAUCCCCAGCAUCACCA